GACGGAGGGUGCGAGCGUUGUUCGGAAUUACUGGGCGUAAAGCGUACGUAGGCGGUUUGUUAAGUCGAAUGUAAAAGCCCGAGGCUCAACCUCGGAACCGCAUUCGAUACUGGCGAACUAGAGGAUGAUAGAGGAAAGCGGAAUUCCGAGUGUAGCGGUGAAAUGCGUAGAUAUUCGGAGGAACAUCAGUGGCGAAAGCGGCUUUCUGGGUCAUUCCUGACGCUGAGGUACGAAAGCGUGGGGAGCAAACGGG
rnacentral:rRNA from 1 species